GGUCCCAUAGCUCAGUUGGUUAGAGCGUCGUACUAAUAUUGUGAUCCCAAUAUUCUGUGUUCACUUUGCAAGCUUAUGCGAAGGCCGAGAGUUCGAGCCUCUCUGGGACCA